rnacentral:rRNA from 1 species
AGGACGAACGCUGGCGGCGUGCCUAAUACAUGCAAGUCGAACGAGACUUUCCUUGGUGGUAACACCUUUGAUUGUCUAGUGGCGAACGGGUGAGUAACACGUGAGAAACCUGCCCUGAAGACGGGGAUAACAGGAGGAAACUUCUGCUAAUACCCGAUACCCCCACCGGAUCGCAUGGUCUGGUGAGGAAAUGGAUUCCGCUUCAGGAGGGUCUCGCGGCCUAUCAGCUUGUGGUGAGGUAACGGCUUACCAAGGCUUGGACGGGUAGCUGGUCUGAGAGGACGAUCAGCCACACUGGGACUGAGACACGGCCCAGACUCCGUACGGGAGGCAGCAGUAAGGAAUAUUGCGCAAUGGGCGAAAGCCUGACGCAGCAACGCCGCGUGCGGGAUGAAGGCCCUCGGUUGUAAACCGCUUUCAGUAGGAAGAAAAUGACGGUACCUACAGAAGAACGCCCGACCAACUACGUGCCAGCAGCCGCGGU